rnacentral:rRNA from 1 species
UACGUAGGGUGCGAGCGUUAAUCGGAAUUACUGGGCGUAAAGCGUGCGCAGGCGGUUUUGUAAGUCAGAUGUGAAAUCCCCGGGCUCAACCUGGGAACUGCGUUUGAAACUACAAGGCUAGAGUGUAGCAGAGGGGGGUAGAAUUCCACGUGUAGCAGUGAAAUGCGUAGAGAUGUGGAGGAACACCGAUGGCGAAGGCAGCCCCCCUGGGUCAAGAUUGACGCUCAUGCACGAAAGCGUGGGGAGCAAACAGG